GUUGUGUCCUGUUUGUUCCUUUUUUAUUCCCUUAGCUGCUUCUCACAUGUCCUUACUUAGGGUUUUCAUCCAACAAUUUCAUUUCUGUGUUGUACACUAAACGCAAUACAUUACCCGAACUCCAGAUUCUCAAUUACCAUUAUCCAAUUCGCUACAUUCAUUGUUAAUUUAUCAAUCCGGUCAUAAGAAUUUAAGGCGGUUUCGUAUUCGUACGACACCGAUUCGGGACUUUUCUUGGAUUUUCUUGGAUUUAGGGUUUUCGCCGAUUUAAUAUAUUCUUCAUCUGAUAGAGCACAGAUGCAAGGGAUUAAUCGAUCGGUGAGAGGUCAGAUAGACUGAGGCGAGUCUGGGUUUUGUAUGGAAACUCGGAGUCGGAAGCGGGCGGAGGCUUCCUCAGCUGCCCCUUCAUCCUCGUCCACCUCUCGUUCCGCCAAGCGCUCUCGUCUCUCUUCUUCCUCUUCUUCGAUCCCGAACACCCCAACUGUUAAUACACGUUCUCGUUCGGCCAGGACUAACACCACCACCACAAAUUCCGUUUCUAUCAUGGACCCCACCAACGAAUCCUCCGGGUCAAGACGUGAUCGCCGUGGCAAGAAUUUGGAAAGGGACAAUUCGGACAAAGGGAAGGAGAAAGAACAGGAUGUUGGGAUUAGGGAUGUAGAAAGAGAGCGAGCCUUGGCGUUGAACAUGGAGGGUGAAGGUGUUGGGGACGACGAUGAUAAUUAUAGUGACAGUGGUGUGCAUCGGAAUUUGACGUCUGCUAGUAGUGCCCUUCAAGGGCUUCUUCGGAAACUUGGUGCUGGUUUGGAUGAUCUGCUUCCUGCCACGGCUAUGAGUGGUUCUGCGUCCUCUUCUCAUCAGAGUGGUAGACUCAAGAAAAUUCUGGCUGGAUUGCGUGCUGACGGAGAAGAAGGUCGUCAGCUCGAUGCAUUGUCGCAGCUUUGUGACAUGCUUUCCAUUGGAACUGAAGAAUCCCUUAGUACAUUUUCCGUUGACUCGUUUGUUCCUGUGUUAGUGGGGUUGCUUAAUCAUGAGAGCAACCCCGAUGUUAUGCUACUUGCUGCCAGGGCGCUUACCCAUUUAUGCGACGUUCUUCCCUCAUCUUGUGCUGCUGUUGUGCAUUACGGGGCAGUGUCUAUAUUCUGUGCGAGACUGCUUACGAUAGAGUAUAUGGAUUUGGCUGAGCAGUCUCUUCAAGCGCUAAAGAAGAUUUCUCAGGAGCACCCAACUGCCUGUCUUCGAGCUGGAGCUCUGAUGGCUGUACUUUCUUACUUGGACUUCUUCUCAACAGGAGUUCAGCGAGUGGCAUUGUCUACUGCUGCAAAUAUGUGCAAAAAGCUUCCUCCUGAUGCAGCUGACUUUGUAAUGGAAGCUGUUCCUCUUUUGACAAACCUUCUUCAGUACCAUGACUCCAAGGUUCUGGAACAUGCCUCUGUUUGUCUGACUCGAAUAGCUGAAGCAUUUGCCUCAUCUCCAGACAAAUUAGAUGAAUUAUGCAAUCAUGGACUGGUAACACAAGCUGCCUCUCUCAUUUCUAAUAGCAGUUCUGGAGGUGGUCAGGCUUCUCUCAGCACUCCAACAUAUACUGGUCUGAUCCGCCUUCUUUCCACAUGUGGCAGUGGAUCCCCUCUUGGAGCCAAAACAUUACUUCUCCUUGGAAUUAGUGGCAUUCUAAAAGAUAUACUAUCCGGUUCUGGUGUUUCUUCUAUCACCUCUUUUUCACCAGCAUUAAGUAGGCCGGCAGAUCAGAUAUUUGAGAUUGUGAAUCUGGCAAAUGAACUUCUGCCUCCAUUGCCACAUGGAACCAUUUCUCUUCCUGUCAGCUCCAACUUGUUUGUGAAAGGGUAUUUUGUGAAAAAAUGUCCUUCUGGCACUUCCAGACAAGAAGACACCACCAACGGAAAUAUUCAUGAGAUAUCAGCUCGUGAGAAGUUAUUAAAUGAUCAGCCUGAGUUACUUCAGCAAUUUGGGAUGGAUCUCCUCCCAGUUUUAAUGCAGAUAUAUGGUGCCAGUGUCAAUGGUCCUGUUCGCCACAAAUGUCUUUCUGUCAUUGGAAAAUUGAUGUAUUUCAGCACAGCUGAGAUGAUUCAGUCUUUGUUGAGUGUAACAAAUAUAUCAAGUUUCUUAGCUGGUGUGUUAGCAUGGAAAGAUCCGCAUGUUUUGGUACCUGCCUUGCAGAUUGCAGAAAUUCUUAUGGAAAAGCUUCCUGGAACAUUCUCUAAGAUGUUUGUCAGAGAAGGUGUGGUCCAUGCGGUUGACCAACUUAUUUCAGCUGGAAAUUCAACCAAUGUAUCUAUUCAAACGUCCGCUGAGAAGGAUAGUGAUUCUGUAUCUGGAACUCAUUCUCAGCCCAGACACUAUCGCCUGCGUAGUGGUAACUCAAACCCCGAUGCAAACUAUUUGGAUGAUUUGAUGAGGAGUCCAGUUCCAGUAAAUGUUGGUUUGCCAACAAGUUCUGUUGAAACUCCGACAACUGGUUCCAGUAUUCGGGAGUCUAUUAGCUCAGUUGCUAGAGGUUUUAAAGACAAGUACUUUCCUUCUGAUCCUGGGUCUAUUGAAGUGGGUGUUAGUGAUGAUCUUUUGCAUUUGAAAAAUCUCUGCACAAAGCUGACCACUUGUGUUGAUGAUAAAAAAACUAAGGCAAAGGGAAAAGUUAAAGCUUCUGGACCUGGUCUCAACGAAAAUUCUAAUAACACAGAAGAAUAUUUAAUUGGGGUGAUAUCUGACAUGUUAAAGGAACUUGGCAAAGGUGAUGGUGUAUCUACUUUUGAAUUUAUUGGUAGUGGUGUUGUUGAAGCCUUGUUGAGUUAUUUAUCUUGUGGGUAUUCUGCAAAAGAUCGAAUGUCAGAAACCAGUCUCCCCAGACUUCGUCAACAGGCACUUGCAAGGUUCAAGUCAUUUGUUGCUAUUGCACUACCUUUGAGCAUUGAUAAUGGGGAUGUUGCUCCUAUGACUGUCUUGGUUCAGAAGCUUCAAAAUGCAUUGUCUUCCCUGGAACGGUUCCCUGUAAUGCUGAGUAAUUCUUCUCGUUCAUCUAGUGGGAGUGCACGUCUCUCCAGUGGACUAAGUGCAUUAUCUCAGCCCAUAAAGCUGCGUCUCUGUCGAGCACAGGGUGAAAAGUCACUUAAGGAUUAUUCUUCCAAUGUGGUACUGAUUGAUCCAUUAGCGAGUUUAGCAGCCAUUGAGGAAUUUCUGUGGACUCGUGUCCAGCGCAGUGAAUCUGGUCAAAAGUCUACUGUACCUGGUGAAAAUUCUGAAUCUGGAACAGCUCCUGCAGGGGCAGGUGUUUUAUCUCCUUCCUCUUAUACUCCCUCAACUACCCGUCGACAUGCAGCUAUGUACAGAUCAUCUUUUAGUAUAGAAGAUACACCUACAAAAAAAACAUCUCAAGAUAAAAGCACAAGUUCAUCUAAGAGCAAGGGUAAAGCUGUAUUAAAGGCUGCACAGGAGGAAGCAAGAGGACCUCAGACCCGAAAUCGCAGAAGAGCAGCUCUAGAUAAAAAUGCUCAAAUGAAACCUGUAAAUGACGAAUCAACUUCUGAGGAUGAAGAAUUGGAUAUAUCUCCUGUUGAAAUAGACGAGGCUUUGAUGAUUGAAGAUGAUGAUAUUUCUGAUGAUGAGGAUGAAGACCAUGAAGAUGUGUUGAGGGAUGAUUCUCUUCCUGUCUGUUUGCCCGACAAAGUACAUGAUGUGAAAUUGGGUGACUCAGCUGAGGAGAGUACUGUUGCUACAGCAACAAGCGAUAGCCAGACUAUCGCAGCCUCGGGUUCUAGCAGUAAAGCUGUGACAGCCAGGGGAUCCGACUCUGCUGAUUUUAGGAGUGGGUAUUCAUCUAGCUCAAGGGGUGCAAUGUCAUUUGCUGCUGCUGCUAUGGCUGGACUAGGAUAUGCUAAUAGCAGAGGUUUCAGGGGUGGCAGAGAUAGGCAUGGGCGCCUGUUGUUUGGUACUUCUAAUGAUCCUCCAAAAUUAAUUUUUACUGCUGCUGGGAAGCAGCUUAAUAGGAAUUUGACUAUAUACCAGGCAAUUCAAAAACAGCUUGUGCUAGAUGAAGAUGAUGAUGACAGAUUUGCUGGCAGUGACUAUGUAUCCAGUGAUGGAAGCAGUCUGUGGGGUGAUAUUUACACCAUCACUUAUCAAAGAGCAGAAAACCAGACGGAUAAGGCAUCUACUGGAGGAUCAAGUUCAAAUACUUCAAAACCUGCCAAAUCUGGCUCUGCCUCAAAUUCCAGCCCAGAAGCUAAGUUGCAUCAGACUUCUGUUUUAGACAGUAUAUUGUAUGGAGAAUUGCCGUGUGAUCUAGAGAAAUCUAACCCCACCUACAAUAUUUUGGCACUCCUGCGUGUGUUGGAGUGUUUGAACCAGCUUGCGCCUCGUUUGAGGGCUCAAAUGGUUUCUGAUAGCUUUGCUGAGGGUAAAAUCUCUAAUUUUGAUCAGCUAGUUGUUACAACUGAUACUAGGGUUGUUCAGGAGGAAUUCAUUAGUGGUAAGCUUACUCCAAAAUUGGCUAGGCAAAUACAAGAUGCCCUAGCACUAUGCAGUGGUAGUCUUCCCUUAUGGUGUUAUCAGUUGACUAAAGCAUGCCCUUUCUUGUUUCCUUUUGAGACUCGACGACAGUACUUCUAUUCUACUGCAUUUGGGUUAUCUCGAGCACUGUAUCGACUUCAGCAGCAGCAAGGUGCUGAUGGUCAUGGAUCGACUACUGAGAGAGAGAUUAGAGUUGGGAGAUUACAGCGCCAAAAAGUUCGUGUCUCUCGAAACCGUGUCUUGGAUUCUGCUGCAAAAGUUAUGGAGAUGUAUUCUAGCCAAAAAGCAGUACUUGAAGUAGAAUAUUUUGGUGAAGUUGGCACUGGCCUGGGCCCAACCCUGGAGUUUUAUACAAUUCUAAGUCAUGAUUUACAAAAGGUUGGACUGCAAAUGUGGAGAUCCCAUUCUUCAAAUAAACAUGAAAUGGAAGUUGACGGGGAUGAAAAGAGAGAGCAUAGUGUAGGCUCUAGGCCCAAUUUGGCUGGAGAUAAAGAACUUGUUCUAGCUCCUAUGGGUUUGUUUCCUCGGCCUUGGCCUACAAAUUCUGAUGCAUCAGAGGGUAGUCCAUUUGCAAAAGUCAUUGAGUAUUUUCGGCUGCUGGGUCGUGUUAUGGCAAAAGCUCUUCAAGAUGGACGACUAUUGGAUCUGCCAUUGUCAGUGGCAUUCUAUAAGCUUGUUCUUGGUCAAGAUCUUGAUUUGCAUGACCUUCUGUUCAUUGAUGCUGAGCUUGGGAAGACUUUGCAAGAGUUAAAUGCCCUUGUUCGUCGGAAACAUUAUGUAGAAUCUGUUGGUGGUAGCUGUACUGAUACUCUUUUUAACUUACAUUUUCAUGCUGCGCCAGUUGAAGAUCUUUGCUUAGAUUUUACGCUUCCUGGUUUUCCUGAGUACACCUUGAAAGCUGGAGAUGAAACUGUCGAUAUCAACAAUUUGGAGGAGUACAUAUCCUUGGUGGUUGAUGCAACAGUCAAGACUGGAAUCAUGCGGCAAAUAGAGGCAUUUAGAGCAGGGUUUAAUCAGGUUUUUGACAUCUCAUCUUUACAAAUUUUUACUCCUCAAGAACUAGACUACUUGCUUUGUGGCCGGAGGGAGUUGUGGGAGGCUGAGACACUUGCUGAUCAUAUAAAAUUUGACCAUGGGUACAAUGCAAAGAGCCCUCCUAUUGUUAAUUUACUUGAAAUUAUGGGGGAAUUCACCCCGGAGCAGCAGCGCGCCUUCUGUCAAUUUGUUACUGGUGCACCUAGGCUGCCACCUGGUGGGCUGGCAGUUCUAAAUCCAAAACUAACGAUUGUGAGGAAGCUUUCGUCAACUGCAGUUAAUACUUCAUCAAACGGGAAUGGAGCUUCAGAAUCCGCGGACGAUGACUUGCCUAGUGUGAUGACAUGCGCUAAUUACCUGAAACUUCCUCCUUACUCUACCAAGGAAGUUAUGUACAAGAAGCUACUCUAUGCAAUCAGUGAAGGGCAGGGAUCCUUUGAUUUAUCAUGAGUUCUGGAACUAACCAACCUUACCCUGUAUGUUAAUAUAGAUGGGUCAGGGUUUAAUUGACUCUAUUAUUGAGUCUCAGUUAAGUCUUGGUUGGGAUUCAGGUUCCUCCUCGCGUCUCAAAUAAUAGUCUCGUUUUCCGUGCUCUUCAUGCAAAUUGCAAGGUUGUGGUGUAACUCAGUCGAAUCGGGUGGCCACAUUUUCAAUGUGUAGGAUCAUUUACGGAGCUCUUAUUUAUUUUCACCUGUUAGAACUUGUAAAUAAAAUAGCAAUGAUGAAAUUUUGAUUCUUUUUUUUUUCACUAUUUUGUUUGUAAGUCCAAUUAUUCGCAAUUAGCAUGUACCAAGAAAGGGUAAAGGGAAGAGAAAUAAUUUAAAAUAGUAUGCUUUAUUAUUACUUCUGC